rnacentral:rRNA from 1 species
AUUGAACGCUGGCGGCAGGCCUAACACAUGCAAGUCGAGCGGAGCGGCGGACGGGUGAGUAAUGCCUAGGAAUCUGCCUGGUAGUGGGGGAUAACGUCCGGAAACGGGCGCUAAUACCGCAUACUAUCAGAUGAGCCUAGGUCGGAUUAGCUAGUUGGUGGGGUAAAGGCCUACCAAGGCGACGCUCCGUAACUGGUCUGAGAGGAGGAUGAGUAAAACUGGAACUGAGACAGGGUCCAGACUCGAACGGGAGGAAGCAGUGGGUAAUAUUGCACAAUGGGCGCAAGCCUAAUGCGGCCAUGCCGCGUGUGUGAAGAAGGCCUUGGGGUUGUAAAGCACUUUCGGCGGGGAGGCGUUACCCGCAGAAGAAGCACCGGCUAACUCCGUGCCAGCAGCCGCGGUAAUUC